CGAAAGCCUGACGGAGCAAUACCGCGUGAGGGAAGAAGGCUCUUGGGUUGUAAACCUCUUUUCUUAGGGAAGAAAAAAUGACGGUACCUAAGGAAUCAGCAUCGGCUAACUCCGUGCCAGCAGCCGCGGUAAUACGGAGGAUGCAAGCGUUAUCCGGAAUGAUUGGGCGUAAAGCGUCCGCAGGUGGCAUAUCAAGUCUGCGGUUAAAGGUUCUGGCUCAACCAGAGACAGGCCGUGGAAACUGAUAAGCUGGAGUAAGGUAGGGGCAGAGGGAAUUCCCAGUGUAGCGGUGAAAUGCGUAGAGAUUGGGAAGAACACCGGUGGCGAAAGCGCUCUGCUAGGCCAAAACUGACACUGAGGGACGAAAGCU
rnacentral:rRNA from 1 species